CUCUUUUGGCUGUAAAUUCAUGUUGAAUAUGGAUAUAAUAGGUGACUUUGAAUGAGAUAGAGGAAGUGCUGUCCUUUAUAUAUAAUUUAAGACUCUGUACAACAAACUCACUGCUACCAGCCUCUUGGGUAUGCACACAAGCAGUCCAAAGUAAUUUGCCUAAAUUAAACUUGGCCACUUUAUUUCAUAAUCGUGAAUAGUAGGAAAUGCUUCUGUAGUGUCAUGCUAUUUCUCCUUAGUUUACCAAAGCUUUCUGCUGAAGCUGAAGAUAAAUUGGAGGUAAUUGAUUACCUUUCUUCUACAGGGUACAUUUUUAUAUUUUGGUGCCUGUGGUGCAAGAGUUUUUAUAACUUAUGAAAGUGUUUGAGUAGAUUGUCUUCCUGAGCUGUUACAUUAGAAUUGACUUCCUGACAGGGGAUUCUCACCUUUGGGAAUUCAGCUUCCAAUGGUUUCUGCUUGGUUUGUUUAGUAUAUUCAUGAUAUGGUCUGGGGUUUAUUUAGUUGUUUUGUUGGGGGCUUUUUUUGUUUGUUUCUUUGUUGUUUUCUAGGGUUUUUUUGUUCAUUUGGUUUUUAAUUAUCAAUUCCUAACUUUUCACCAUAUUGCUUAUUUUUUGAGAGGAAAUCCUUAGCUUUUUCUAAAAGUUUAAACUGAUGCAGACUCUGUACAGGGUACUAUUAAUGCUAGAAAUUAACAUCAAUGAGCAAAUUAGAAAGAAAAAAUCACCUGGUUUUAAGCAAAGUUUAUAACUGAUGAUCUGAGAGUUUAGAAAGAAGUAUUUCAGGAAUAUUAUUUAUUUCUAACUGGAUGCACUCAAAUAUCUGUGGACUUCUAAAAGGUUUUUAUUAUGGAAAUAGAAAUAUUUUUUUUUAUGUUUCUUGGAGAAAACAAGGCUUAUUCUGUGUUCAUUUUCAGUGCUUUCUUGACAUGGAUGGAAUACAGAGAAAAUAUUUUUGUUCUGCACUGCGUUUUGUAUAUGUGGAAUCAUAAAAUACUGAGUGCAUUAGCUCUACUCUGUUUUACAGGGUUUUCUCAAACCAGAAGCAGCACUCUGGGGAAAAGAUGACUUAAGAAAACUAUGUAGUCAGUUUCUCAUCAUGUGUGUUAAAGGAUACUUGUAAAAUGUGAUGUAAUUUCUUUGCCUAGAACUUUCAGGAUACCUUGAGAUGUGCCUAUGGACAGGGGAGUUUAUUAUUUCAUGCUGUCACAGGAUUACUAAAUUCAAUAUAGCUGUCAUCCUGAUAGAAAUAAAUAAAUCUGAUUAAUAGGACCAUAGCUAUAAGUGUAUCAGGAUUUCAGUUAAUUUUGUGCAGAUAAUUAAAUAAAAAACCCCACCAAAGUAAGCUAUGAGUAUUCAUUGCUUUGUACUGGCCUUCUGGCCUCUAUAAACUCAGCUUCAGGCUGAAUUUGCUAUUUUCCAGACUUAAAGCGUUAUGCUCUUCCAUCUAAGGUGGAAGUGCCUGUUUUGCUAAAGUCUGAUAGUUUGGCCUGUUUUAUUGGCCAUGAGUUUGUAACCUGGUACCACUGCUUGUGAUCAGGCUCUAAACUGAAGGGUGUGCUACUACCUUCAGGGGUCCUUCAAGGUGUUUCCAUGUCAGACUGGAUGUGAUGCACUUCUGUUAAGUGCACUUUAAAUUUUUUAUUUCAGCUUGGGCAUUUUUUUAUAAGCUGGAGAAGACUCUGAUGUGUACAACAUGAAAGACUUCGACUGAAGUGUACGAGUCUGUGUUACAAGUUCUGAAAGCAGACUGUUCAAGCUUCAAGCUAGAAAUGCUUAGUAGAACUUUGCUCUGGAUGCACCACAUAGUUUAUCUGUAUUUUACUGCUUGAAUGCAAAAUUUAAUUAAAAUUUGCAAAUAAAUGAUUCCAGAGGUACCUCAUCAGAUGACAUGGGGCAGAAAGCCACAGUUGACACAUGGCAAGUUGUUGCUGUGCUGAUUCAUGUGCGUGUAAGAGGAGAGGAAAUGAAGAGUGCUGUCAUCAGCUGAAACUUAGAGGGAAGUUUUCUUCAGUAGGAGCUGAUAAAACAGAUUGUGAUUUAACAUACUCAGUGUUCGACUAAUAGAUCAGAGAGCUGUUUUAUGUGGAUCACUCAUUGACUGAAAAAAUAAUUUCAAAGCAGUAGAAGUGAUCUGUGAGUAAUUAUAUCCUACAAAAAAACCCAACCCUCUAAAAAUAAAAAACAACAACAACAAAAACC